AUUGAACGCUGGCGGCAGGCUUAACACAUGCAAGUCGCACGAGUGGCGGACGGGUGAGUAUUUCUUGGGCAUCACGCUUAUGUAGGGGGACAACUACGGGAACCUGUAUCUAAUACCGCGUACCAUAGGAUGAGCACACGUUGGAUUCGGUAGUUUGUGAGGUAAAGGCUAACCAAGCCGACGACCUCUAGCUGGUCUUAGAGGAUGACCAGCCACAUGGGAACUGAAACACGGCCCAGACUCCAACGGGAGGAAGCAGUGGGGAAUAUUGCGCAAUGGGGGCAACCUGACGCAGCCAUGACGCGAGAAUGAAGAAGGCCUUCGGGUUGUAAAGUUCUUUCGGUAGCGAGGCGUUAACUACAGAAGAAGCACCGGCUAACUCCGUGCCAGCAUCCGCGGUAAUAC
rnacentral:rRNA from 1 species